rfam:Geobacter bemidjiensis Bem, complete genome.
GGUAUAAUGUGAAUAGAUAACAGAGUUGCGGAGGAUCAAAGGAUCCUCCUUCCCCUAGCCGACUUGCCCUCCUAGUCGCUAGGGUUUUUUU